ACGGCUGUAGACUUGUAGAUGACUCUUGAUGACUGUAUUGUAUUCUUUGUGCAAUUUUUGAAAUGACUGUUGGGGAAAGCAGUAAAAUGUUGUUGUGUCGUCUCGAGACUCUCAUAUAUGGCUCUCCAGCCUGCACUUCUACACAUGAUUGAGCGGAAGGAAGCGUUUUACUCCCGCUGCCAACAUUAAGGAUAUCGUGGAGGGGAGGGUCUUCUGAGGAAUGGAGAAAAGACAGCGACAUCACCAAAGACAAGGUCCACCUUCUGUGGGAGCCCGUCAUUAGAACGACAAGCCUCAGUGGGCGACUUCAACCGCGCGAAGAGCGCGCGAGGCGCUGCGAUAAGAGGGUCAGCGCUCCUAGAUCACCUGCCGGCGUGGUCAAUGGCUGAUUGUCACCCGUAGAGCCGGCGUGAGAACCACACCAAACCGUAGGACUACAUAGGACUAGUCUAUUCAGCUAGUUAGCUGGUAGCUUCCUCCGGCUAAAAAUGCUAUAAAUGACUGCAGUUUCAAUGUUGUGCAUCUUGGGUAAAAGAUGUUUUUCAAAUGUUUGAUCCUUCAUUAUUUGUGCGUAUACAUGGUCUGAAGAGGUUCUAAAUGGCAUGUUUGUGGCAUGCGGACAAAUCGAAGUACGAACACAUUGAUGGUUCACAGAUUUGUGAGCCAAAUGUGCAUAAGCACAAUUUAAUCACAAGUUUUGUGCGCGUGCACUGUUAGUGAAUGAGGCCCAUUGUUCCUAUCUUGAGCUGUCUAAAAAAAAAAAAAAGUCAAUAUCUACUAUAUAUUUGUGCUUUGUCUCAUACUA